GGCAGUAUGGCCGAGUGGUUAAGGCGAUAGACUUGAAUUCUCAUUGAAAUCUAUUCUCUUCGGAGGCGUCGGUUCAAAUCCGGCUGCUGUCG
rnacentral:tRNA from 1 species